AAAAUACGAAUCAAUUAUUAACAGUAUUAAUACAAUAUUCUCGAGUAGGCAAUACAUCGAGCCGUUAAUUUCCUUCGUUUUCCCUCCCUUUAAAUACACACUUGUUGAAGCGUCUUAGAUUAAUAUAAAAAAUGUAUUAUAGUACGAUAGAGCUUGUUAGUUUAUAAAUUCCAAUUUUCUAAUACAAUUAGUUUAGCAUAUUAUACGAUGAAUGAAUAUCAAUAUGCAACUUAUUACGGAUUCGGGUAUAGCCGACCAAUAGGAAUAAUAAUAUUAUUAUAUGUAAUAAAAUAAUUAUUGCUCCGAACUGUCUUUAUGUAGACGCUCGUGAAGAAAACGAGGACCGUUAUCUACGAACGUACUUUUAUUUUUUUUUUUAUUUUCUCUGUUAUUUUUUUAUCUGUUUGACGUUUUAUGAAAAACACAUUAUAAAAUAUCAGUUUAUCAACAUCACGAAUGCAGGUAUUAUCCCGACAUAUUUUUAUUAGUCAAUUUUGGUGAUUAUUCCUUCUCCCCGAACCGUAUACCGAUCUAAAGCGUUAUUCAUAACAAUAUAUUUUUUAUUUUUCGUCACAAUAGAUACGUUUU